rnacentral:rRNA from 1 species
CUUGGUCAUUUAGAGGAAGUAAAAGUCGUAACAAGGUUUCCGUAGGUGAACCUGCGGAAGGAUCAUUAUUGAUUUUUAAAGAUGUGCUGGCACUCCUUCACCGGUUUGCAUGUGCACUCUGCAAAAUCUCCUUCUCUUACCCCACUGUGCACACCCAAGUAGACAAACAGAGUUACAGAGCAAUCUGUGUAAUUCCUGAUUUGCCUAUGUUUUUAUCAAACACCAAUAACAAUAUCAGAAUGAUCUAUAUAGUAAGCUUUUAACAAGCUGAAAUUUAAUACAACUUUCAACAAUGGAUCUCUUGGUUCUCGCAUCGAUGAAGAACGCAGCGAAUUGCGAUAUGUAAUGUGAAUUGCAGAAUUCAGUGAAUCAUCGAAUCUUUGAACGCACCUUGCACCCUCUGGCAUUCCGGAGGGUAUGCCUGUUUGAGUGUCAUUAAUCUCUCAACGCAAGAAACUUUGUCUUCUUGUGCUUGGAUAUUGAAGGUUUUGCUGGCGCAAACAACUGUCAGCUCCUUUUAAAUGUAUUAGCAGAGCAGUAUAGGACUGGCCUCGGUUUGAUAAGAAACUUUAUCUAUGCUGUCGCUGGGUUUUCCUCUUUGUGCUCAGCUUCAAAUUGUCUUCGGACUGUCUCUUGAGGCAACAAAAUCUCUAUUGAUCGACCUCAAAUCAGGUAGGACUACCCGCUGAACUUAAGCAUAUCAAUAAGCGGAGGA